rnacentral:rRNA from 1 species
AAACCAGCACCUCAAGUGGUCAGGAGGAUUAUUGGGCCUAAAGCAUCCGUAGCCUGUUCUAUAAGUUUCCGGUUAAAUCCAUUAGCUCAACUAAUGGGCCGCCGAAAAUACUGUGGAACUAGGGAGUGGGAGAGGUAGACGGUACUCGGUAGGAAGGGGUAAAAUCCUUUGAUCUAUUGAUGACCACCUGUGGCGAAGGCGGUCUACCAGAACACGUCCGACGGUGAGGGAUGAAAGCUGGGGGAGCAAACCGGAUUAGAAACCCUGGUAGUCC